rnacentral:rRNA from 1 species
AGAGUUUGAUCCUGGCUCAGGACGAACGCUGGCGGCGUGCCUAACACAUGCAAGUCGAACGGAGAAUUUUAUUUCGGUAGAAUUCUUAGUGGCGAACGGGUGAGUAACGCGUAGGCAACCUGCCCUUUAGACGGGGACAACAUUCCGAAAGGAGUGCUAAUACCGGAUGUGAUCAUCGUGCCGCAUGGCAGGAUGAAGAAAGAUGGCCUCUACAAGUAAGCUAUCGCUAAAGGAUGGGCCUGCGUCUGAUUAGCUAGUUGGUAGUGUAACGGACUACCAAGGCGAUGAUCAGUAGCCGGUCUGAGAGGAUGAACGGCCACAUUGGGACUGAGACACGGCCCAAACUCCUACGGGAGGCAGCAGUGGGGAAUCUUCCGCAAUGGACGAAAGUCUGACGGAGCAACGCCGCGUGAGUGAUGAAGGAUUUCGGUCUGUAAAGCUCUGUUGUUUAUGACGAACGUGCAGUGUGUGAACAAUGCAUUGCAAUGACGGUAGUAAACGAGGAAGCCACGGCUAACUACGUGCCAGCAGCCGCGGUAAUACGUAGGUGGCGAGCGUUGUCCGGAAUUAUUGGGCGUAAAGAGCAUGUAGGCGGCUUAAUAAGUCGAGCGUGAAAAUGCGGGGCUCAACCCCGUAUGGCGCUGGAAACUGUUAGGCUUGAGUGCAGGAGAGGAAAGGGGAAUUCCCAGUGUAGCGGUGAAAUGCGUAGAUAUUGGGAGGAACACCAGUGGCGAAGGCGCCUUUCUGGACUGUGUCUGACGCUGAGAUGCGAAAGCCAGGGUAGCGAACGGGAUUAGAUACCCCGGUAGUCCUGGCCGUAAACGAUGGGUACUAGGUGUAGGAGGUAUCGACCCCUUCUGUGCCGGAGUUAACGCAAUAAGUACCCCGCCUGGGGAGUACGGCCGCAAGGUUGAAACUCAAAGGAAUUGACGGGGGCCCGCACAAGCGGUGGAGUAUGUGGUUUAAUUCGACGCAACGCGAAGAACCUUACCAAGACUUGACAUUGAUUGAAAG